ACUCGAGUGGCGAACGGGUGAGUAACACGUGGGUGAUCUGCCUUGCACUCUGGGAUAAGCUUGGGAAACUGGGUCUAAUACCGGAUAGGAACCGUCUUUAGUGUGGUGGUUGGAAAGUUUUUCGGUGCAAGAUGAGCUCGCGGCCUAUCAGCUUGUUGGUGGGGUAAUGGCUUACCAAGGCGUCGACGGGUAGCCGGCCUGAGAGGGUGUACGGCCACAUUGGGACUGAGAUACGGCCCAG
rnacentral:rRNA from 1 species